rnacentral:rRNA from 1 species
CCUACGGGAGGCAGCAGUGAGGAAUAUUGGACAAUGGGCGCAAGCCUGAUCCAGCCAUGCCGCGUGCAGGAUGACGGUCCUAUGGAUUGUAAACUGCUUUUAUACAGGAAGAAACCACCCUACGUGUAGAGUCUUGACGGUACUGUAAGAAUAAGGAUCGGCUAACUCCGUGCCAGCAGCCGCGGUAAUACGGAGGAUCCAAGCGUUAUCCGGAAUCAUUGGGUUUAAAGGGUCCGUAGGCGGUUUAGUAAGUCAGUGGUGAAAGCCCAUCGCUCAACGGUGGAACGGCCAUUGAUACUGCUAGACUUGAAUUAUUAGGAAGUAACUAGAAUAUGUAGUGUAGCGGUGAAAUGCUUAGAGAUUACAUGGAAUACCAAUUGCGAAGGCAGGUUACUACUAAUUGAUUGACGCUGAUGGACGAAAGCGUGGGUAGCGAACAGGAUUAGAUACCCUGGUAGUCCACGCCGUAAACGAUGGAUACUAGCUGUUGGGGGCAACUUCAGUGGCUAAGCGAAAGUGAUAAGUAUCCCACCUGGGAGUACGAACCGNAGUUAGAACUNAAUGAGUGACGNGNGAGAGNGCGAGACGACGACGAGGGAGGAGG